AUUGAACGCUGGCGGCAGGCCUAACACAUGCAAGUCGAGCGGAUGAAGGGAGCUUGCUCCUGGAUUCAGCGGCGGACGGGUGAGUAAUGCCUAGGAAUCUGCCUGGUAGUGGGGGAUAACGUCCGGAAACGGGCGCUAAUACCGCAUACGUCCUGAGGGAGAAAGUGGGGGAUCUUCGGACCUCACGCUAUCAGAUGAGCCUAGGUCGGAUUAGCUAGUUGGUGGGGUAAAGGCCUACCAAGGCGACGAUCCGUAACUGGUCUGAGAGGAUGAUCAGUCACGACGGGCGUGCGACAGGCGACUGACACGUAGGGAAGGCAAGAGUGGGAAAUAGUGGACAGGGGCAGAACGCGUGACGCGGACAUGCUUGGUGUGAGGAGAAGGUCGCGGGAUUGUAAAUCAUUUAAAGUGGGGAGGAAGAGAAGUAAUUUACUCCCUUGUUGUUUGAGCGUAACAAACAGAAGAAGCACCUGCUAACUUCUUGCCAGCGGCCGCGAUAAUAAUCGGAAGACCACCCGUCUGACC
rnacentral:rRNA from 1 species